CGGGCGGUUUCGAGGCCCCCCCGCGCACAGCUCGGAGCGCCCCGGGCCGAGAGAGCGAUCAAAGAGCGGCGAGAGGGGAGCGCACGGGCCGGGCUCCCGCAGAUUACGGUGGGUGAUUCAUCACAGGGGACGGCAGUCGAGUCAGGAGGGAGCGGCCGGGGGCCCACAGGGACAGAGCCGAGCACACUGGGACGCACGGACACGGCGCGGGGACAGACAGAUGGACAAGGACAGCCGGGAACAGGCGGCUGCACCGCGGGGCACGGCCCAGCACAGGCGCUGGUGCAGCGGGACGUGCAGCUGCAGCACAGAGCCGUGCCCAGGGACACACCGAGGGACACGCUGACACGCACACCGAAGGACACGGGAUCACACCGGCAGCUCGGAGGCACAGCCUCCUUAUCCUCUUCCAUGGCCACCGUGUGAAGGCCGGUUGGAUCCCUCUCCGUGUGGGAAAGGCCAGGAAAAAGCCGUUAUGGAUUAUCCCAGUGUGUGGAGUCGGUGCUGGAGGGGAGCACGGUGCAGAUCCCAGCGUCGGGGCUCCGCGGCGUUUGGCUGCCGGGGGUCCCGGAGCGCUGGGGAAGAGUUCCCUGACUGAAAAAGAAAACUGAAAAAGCCAAAAAAAGCGGCUGUGAGGCUCUUCCUUCCCCAGUGACGGCAGCGGGAGGGGGAAGGAUCCGGGGGAACCUCCCAUGCUGGGUGUGGGAAGGGGCUGAGUCAGGGGGCUGUGGAGCACCAAGCCCAUGUCCCUGGGCACGGUGGGCAGACCCCCAGGGGGAACACUCCCCACAUGGCAAACCCCCUGCUGUGGGCGGCCUCCCUCCCUGGGCAGACCACCCUCUGUGAGUUGGCAUCCCCAGAGGCACGGCCCCCUCUGCCUGUGGGCAGACCCACUCUUGGGGGUGCAUUCCCUCUGAGCAGCCGCCCCAGUGGGUAGGCAGACCCCCUGCUGUGGUUGUACAUCCCACACGAGCAGCUCCCCCAGCCCGGGGGUACAACUCCACUGUGCCGAGGUUGAUCAGUGAAGUGAGCCCAAAUGAGUGCAAUUAAAGUCAAUUUAAUGAGGACCCCCCCACAUCCACCCCCCAGCCCUGCAGCUGCCUUUGUCCGCUGCUGCUGCUGAACACACGGUGUCUGUCCCACCCCCCCACUGGGCCUGUACCACUGCAGAGCCCCUGAGCACGGGGGGCAGUGGCUGAGGCCAAGGCCUGUCCCUGCCCUGGGGACUGACUGGGAUGUGUUUGGGGGUGCAGCAAGGAGGCUGCAGCCCCAGCAGUGUCCCCCCUCCUCAGCUGUUCUCCCGAGCUUCAUCCUCCUGGGAGCUGCCAAGCCCCCUCGGAAGAAAGAGGAGGCUGGAGGAUCCCCCAACACUCCUUGGGUGGGAGCUGGAGCAACCCCUGGCUCUGCCUGGACCCCCAGCACUGCUGCAGCGGGACCCCCUGGCUGGUGUGACCCACUGCCGUCCUCCAAGGCUCAUCCCAGGGCUCUGCAUGGCACGGAACAGCAGGUAUGGCUCCCAGGAUAGGCAGUUUUCCAGCUGGCUGUGGCAUUCCCGGCGCGUCUCAAGGCCGUCUGCGUCCAAGGGUCGUGUUUGUGGUGCAGAGGGACGAGGUGGCUCAGCACCACUGUCCCCUCUGCUCCCAGCUCAGGGCCCUCGCCCCCUGCCCGGCGCUCCCCGGGGCUGGUGGGCAGCGGGGGGCACAGAGCCACAGCCGCUCGGGGGUCCGAGGAAAAAGGAAGGAACUUAACUCCCAUUAACCAUCCCAUUGUACUGGCCGUGGGAAUAAUCGGGUUUGCUAAUGCAAUUGCUGCCGCGAUGCGAAAAUCCGACUGGAAAAUGUAUUAGAGCAAUUAUCCGCCUCCCUCCGCAGCCGGCGGAGCAUUAAUAUUCAAUUUUGAUGUGGAA